GCAGUGGUGGUUCAGUGGUAGAAUCCUUACCUUCCAUGAAGAAGACCUGGGUUCAAUUCCUGACCAAUGCC
rfam:Loxodonta africana unplaced genomic scaffold scaffold_98, whole genome shotgun sequence.